rnacentral:rRNA from 1 species
GUAGUCCACGCCGUAAACGAUGAAUGCUAGCCGUUGGCGAGCUUGCUCGUCAGUGGCGCAGCUAACGCUUUAAGCAUUCCGCCUGGGGAGUACGGUCGCAAGAUUAAAACUCAAAGGAAUUGACAGGGGCCCGCACAAGCGGUGGAGCAUGUGGUUCAAUUCGAAGCAACGCGCAGAACCUUACCAGCCCUUGACAUGUCCCGUAUGGAUUCCAGAGAUGGAAUUCUUCAGUUCGGCUGGCGGGAACACAGGUGCUGCAUGGCUGUCGUCAGCUCGUGUCGUGAGAUGUUGGGUUAAGUCCCGCAACGAGCGCAACCCUCGGCCUUAGUUGCCAUCAUUUAGUUGGGCACUCUAAGGCGACUGCCGGUGAUAAGCCGGAGGAAGGUGGGGAUGACGUCAAGUCCUCAUGGCCCUUACGGGCUGGGCUACACACGUGCUACAAUGGCGGUGACAGAGGGAUGCGAUGGCGCAAGCCUUGGCAAAUCUCAAAAAACCGUCUCAGUUCGGAUUGGGGUCUGCAACUCGACCCCAUGAAGUUGGAAUCGCUAGUAAUCGCGGAUCAGCACGCCGCGGUGAAUACGUUCCCGGGCCUUGUACACACCGCCCGUCACACCAUGGGAGUUGGCUUUACCUGAAGACGGUGUGUUAACCCGCAAGGGAGACAGCCGGCCACGGUAGGGUCAGCGACUGGGGUG